rnacentral:rRNA from 1 species
GGCUCAGAUUGAACGCUGGCGGCAGGCUUAACACAUGCAAGUCGAGCGGGGGAAGGUAGCUUGCUACUGGACCUAGCGGCGGACGGGUGAGUAAUGCUUAGGAAUCUGCCUAUUAGUGGGGGACAACAUCUCGAAAGGGAUGCUAAUACCGCAUACGUCCUACGGGAGAAAGCAGGGGAUCUUCGGACCUUGCGCUAAUAGAUGAGCCUAAGUCGGAUUAGCUAGUUGGUGGGGUAAAGGCCUACCAAGGCGACGAUCUGUAGCGGGUCUGAGAGGAUGAUCCGCCACACUGGGACUGAGACACGGCCCAGACUCCUACGGGAGGCAGCAGUGGGGAAUAUUGGACAAUGGGGGGAACCCUGAUCCAGCCAUGCCGCGUGUGUGAAGAAGGCCUUAUGGUUGUAAAGCACUUUAAGCGAGGAGGAGGCUACUCUAGUUAAUACCUAGAGAUAGUGGACGUUACUCGCAGAAUAAGCACCGGCUAACUCUGUGCCAGCAGCCGCGGUAAUACAGAGGGUGCGAGCGUUAAUCGGAUUUACUGGGCGUAAAGCGUGCGUAGGCGGCUUAUUAAGUCGGAUGUGAAAUCCCCGAGCUUAACUUGGGAAUUGCAUUCGAUACUGGUGAGCUAGAGUAUGGGAGAGGAUGGUAGAAUUCCAGGUGUAGCGGUGAAAUGCGUAGAGAUCUGGAGGAAUACCGAUGGCGAAGGCAGCCAUCUGGCCUAAUACUGACGCUGAGGUACGAAAGCAUGGGGAGCAAACAGGAUUAGAUACCCUGGUAGUCCAUGCCGUAAACGAUGUCUACUAGCCGUUGGGGCCUUUGAGGCUUUAGUGGCGCAGCUAACGCGAUAAGUAGACCGCCUGGGGAGUACGGUCGCAAGACUAAAACUCAAAUGAAUUGACGGGGGCCCGCACAAGCGGUGGAGCAUGUGGUUUAAUUCGAUGCAACGCGAAGAACCUUACCUGGCCUUGACAUACUAGAAACUUUCCAGAGAUGGAUUGGUGCCUUCGGGAAUCUAGAUACAGGUGCUGCAUGGCUGUCGUCAGCUCGUGUCGUGAGAUGUUGGGUUAAGUCCCGCAACGAGCGCAACCCUUUUCCUUACUUGCCAGCAUUUCGGAUGGGAACUUUAAGGAUACUGCCAGUGACAAACUGGAGGAAGGCGGGGACGACGUCAAGUCAUCAUGGCCCUUACGGCCAGGGCUACACACGUGCUACAAUGGUCGGUACAAAGGGUUGCUACACAGCGAUGUGAUGCUAAUCUCAAAAAGCCGAUCGUAGUCCGGAUUGGAGUCUGCAACUCGACUCCAUGAAGUCGGAACCGCUAGUAAUCGCGGAUCAGAAUGCCGCGGUGAAUACGUUCCCGGGCCUUGUACACACCGCCCGUCACACCAUGGGAGUUUGUUGCACCAGAAGUAGCUAGCCUAACUGCAAAGAGGGCGGUUACCACGGUGUGGCCGAUGACUGGGGUGAAGUCGUAACAAGGUAGCCGUAGGGGAACCUGCGGU